CCUCGGUGUGGUGGUCAUCUGCCGCCGCCGCCGCUCUCGCGAUGGCGAGGCCGUUGCCGAACCAAGCACGGGGACAGCCGUCCGCCACCUCCCUCCGUCACCUCCCCGGGCACUCGAAGCCGUCGCCGAGGCUGUCCGCGCCGGCUCUCCGGAAGGCCGCGGCGGUGCUCCUCCUCGCUGCGGCCGUGGCGCUGCCCUGUGCCAUGCUGUACCGCGCCGCGGUGUUGAAUGCGGUUCAGACGGUGCAGGUGGGCUGGGAUCGCAGUCCGUGGUGGGAGCGGGACCAGCCGCCCCCUGCCGUUAUGGUUCCCGAGGAGGACGGCGACGGCGAUCCCGUUGCUGCCGACGAUCUGGACAGUGGCGACCUCAAACUUGAGCAAGUUCUGCAGGAGGCCUCUAUGGAUAAUAAGACCAUUAUAUUGACCACGCUUAAUGCUGCAUGGGCUUAUCCAGGCUCAGUCAUUGAUCUUUUUAUCAACAGUUUUCGCCGUGGUGUUAGGACUAGUUCACUUUUGAGACAUCUUGUGAUAAUAACAUUUGAUGGGAAGGCUUACAAAAGAUGUAUGAAGAUCCACACAUACUGCUUCGCUCUUCCAACUGAGGAUGUGGAUUUUUCUCAGGAGAAGAGGUUUCAGACUUCUGGGUAUCUGGAGAUGAUGUGGAAAAGGUUGGAUUUCUUGCGGCUAGUUCUCGAAAAAGGUUACAGCUUCAUUUUCUCGGAUGCAGACGUCAUGUGGUUCCGCAAUCCUUUUCCACAUUUCUACCCUGAUGGAGAUUUUCAGAUUGCAUGUGAUCACUAUGUAGGCAAUGCAACUGACUUGGGAAACAUAGCUAACGGAGGAUUUAACUAUGUGAGGUCGAACAAUCAAAGCAUAGAGUUCUACAAGUUUUGGUAUUCUUCACGACUGAGAUAUCCUGGCUAUCAUGAUCAGGAUGUGUUUAACUUUAUAAAGCACGAUCCUUAUAUUACAGAUAUUGGACUGAAAAUUAAGUUCCUAAGCACUACAUACUUUGGUGGCAUUUGUGAACCUAGCAGAGAUUUAAACAACGUUUGCACUAUGCAUGUAAACUGUUGUAUUGGGUUACAGAGCAAACUUCAUGAUCUAAGAAUCAUGAUGGAAGACUGGAGCAAUUAUAUGUCUAUGCCACCAAGCUUAAAAAGAUUUGCGGCAUUCUCAUGGAGGGUACCACAAAAUUGCAGUCUUUCAUUACUUAACCAGUGAGACAUACUUUUGGGGUUGCUAACUGUUGGACAUGCCAAUUUUCUGAGCACAUAACUGCCGGAAAGAAAAAAAUACUUUGAAGGAGAAAAGGACUGCUGCAUCAUGAACUUUGCCAAAAUUUGAUGCCUUCAGUAAUGUUGUGCAUCUAUCUUUGGGAACAUAGUGUCAGCAAAGCUGCAAAGCCAUGCAAAUAUGCAAUUUUAAAUUGCGUAAAACUGGUAGAAGUUUCAUCUAUGUGAAAAGUACCGCAAAAUACACAGCUGCAUGACCUUGGCAAGGGCUUUUGGGACCCGGACAUUGGUACGUAAAUACCAGCUUUUGCAAGUUUUUUAGAAAACACAGUGCAGCACAAUGUUUAGGCAUCCAUUUUUUUCUCUCAUUUUAGCAGAUUGAAAUUAAUUUGUUAAUAGAUACGGGGAAUUCCCCCAAUGCUCUAAUGCAAAGGAUUGCCUGAAUCUGUCCCAUAUGUAUAGGGCCAGUCUACUUCUCUGUCUUUCUUACGUACUCCUUCCGU